rnacentral:rRNA from 1 species
GACGAACGCUGGCGGCAUGCCUAAUACAUGCAAGUUGAACGAUGAUAUUCUCUGCUUGCAGAGAAUUGAAGAGUAGCGAACGGGUGAGUAACACGUGGGGAACCUGCCCAUGAGAGGGGGAUAACAUUCGGAAACGGAUGCUAAUACCGCAUAAUGCUUUGGACCGCCUGGUCCAGAGACGAAAGACGGCUUUUGCUGUCACUCAUGGAUGGCCCCGCGCCGUAUUAGCUAGUUGGUGAGGGAAUGGCUCACCAAAGCUGUGAUACGUAGCCGACCUGAGAGGGUGAUCGGCCACACUGGGACUGAGACACGGCCCAGACUCCUACGGGAGGCAGCAGUAGGGAAUCUUCCACAAUGGGCGAAAGCCUGAUGGAGCAAUGCCGCGUGAAUGAAGAAGGUCUUCGGAUCGUAAAGUUCUGUUAUUAGAGAAGAACAAGUCAAGGAGUAACUGUCUUGACUUUGACGGUACCUAACCAGAAAGUCACGGCUAACUACGUG